rnacentral:ncRNA from 1 species
AGUAAAGCGCCAGAGCCCAUGGGGCUGACGAGGCGGAGAGUGAUCGAAAAUUCGGCGGAUGCUCUCCCGGUCAGAUAGUCGUCGCUCAGGCGACAGAUCUGGUCGUUACCCGCGCUACAAAACCCGGCAGCAAUGCCGGUCCACAAAAAG